UAAUUCCUGGAAUGUUCGACAACCUUACCCAUUUUGAACCUACAUUUCUGACUCAGGGAUUCCAAUAUUUGCAGACCGAUGUCAAGCCUCCAAUGAGCAGUGGAAGGCAGAAGCCUGCGUGAGGUUGCCCACCUAGCACUGCUAGGCGUCAAUAAGUAAGACCGGCAUUUUGGGAUUAC
rnacentral:other from 1 species